rnacentral:lncRNA from 1 species
GCUGCAAGGAAAUCUGGCGCGGUUCAAUACCUCGUCUAGCCUGGGUUCCAGUAUCUAAUUUUUUUUUUGUUUUAACUGACAAACUCAUUUCUCUACUGGGACAGGAUGCUGUGCUGGCUGGAAGUUCCAUUUCUACAGCAAGAAUCCUAUCUGGAAACACAGAAGUUGUCCUCUAGCCACAGCAGCUCGAACUUUUUUGAUUGUCGUUGCUGCUUUCUCCCAUCACCCCCAUCCCCUUUUGACAAAGAUCCAACUGUAAAAAGUCUUACGUAACAGUUCAGGACUACUUCGGUUCUUUUACUGGAAGAGGAUCUGUUCCAAGACUCCCAGCAGACGCCUGAAACUUCGAAUAGUACACAACUCCAUAUAUAUUAUGUUUCUGCCUAUACAUACAUACCUAUGGCAAAGUUUAAUUUAUAAAUUAGGCACAGUAAGACAGUAACAAUAACUGAUAAUAAAAUGGAACAAUUAAAACAAUAUGGUAUAAGUUGGCUGGGCACAGUGGCUCAUGCCUGGAAUCUCACCACUUUGGGAGGCCUAGGUGGGAGGACUGUUUGAGGCAUGGAGUUUGAGACCAGCCUGGGGAACAUAGUGAGACCCUGUCUGUACAAAAAAAAAUUUCUAAAUCAGCCAGGCAUGGUGGCAUGCACCUGCAGUUCUAGCUACUCAGGAGGCUGAGGCGGGAGGAUUACUUGAGCCCAGGAGUUUCAGGAUACAGUGAGCUGUGACUGCACCACUGCACCUCAGCCUGGGCAACACAGCAAGAGACCCUGUCUUUAAAAAAGAAAAAAAAAAAAGUUAUGUGAAUGUGGUCUCUCUCUCAGAAUAUCUUAUUGUACCGUACUCACCUAUUUUUGAAAGUAACUGAAACCACAGAAAGCGAAAACGCAUAUAAUGAGGGACUACUAUAAUUGUGUAAGCACAGAGUUACCAAUUAAUGGUUGGUAUCUGCAAUUGGUACAGAACUUGGUGAAGUCUAAAUAAUUACUUUUCCUGGAACCACUGCUACUGGGUUAUACAUUAUGCUUCAGGGAAAGGUGAUGGCAAGAGUAUUCACUGCUACUGGCCAAGUAGCCACUCGUAACAAGAUGGAGAUCAAAGCUUCCAAAAAAAGCAACAUCGUAUCAGUGACAAGACUAGAUUGAGAAAUCCUGCUCUAUAGCUAUGGUCAGAAUUUCCUAAUCUGAAGUUCACAGACAAACCCACCAAGGAGGUGAUAAAUGAGUUCCUGGAUUCCAUAAUUGAAACUGCUUUCAAAAUGUGUUUAUGUACAUGUAUUUAGGGAGAGAAUCCAUAGCGGAUUUUUAAAUAUUAUCAUCUAAUUUAAUUAGAUAGGGAGAGUUUUAAAUAAUGUUAUCUAAUUUAAUCCUCACAAUCAAUGAAGAAGGUACUAAUAUUCUCAUUUUAUAGACUCAGGAAACUAAAACGUUAUGGGAAAUGAAAACCUUACCAAAAAAGUGGUAGAGCAUUAAUUCCAAAUAUGUCCUUAAAACACAUAUAUGUACACAUACAAUACAACAGCUAGUCAGAGAUUGUUUUAACUAUAAAAGAACAGGUUUUUUAUUAGCAUAUAUGGCCUGGAAGCCAAAUACUGGGGAAAACAAGCAAUUUUAUUUAUUAACAUAGAAAUAAUAGUUGUAAAUUAUCUUAACAACUUAAAUACCUUUAAAAUAACAUAUAAAUCUCCAUUUUAUAGAUAAGGAAGCAAAGAAAUGGAGAGGUUAAGUAAUUUGUCAAAGAUCACAUAGCUAGUAAAAUUCAAAGUCACGAUUCUGGCUCCAAAAUCUGCUCUUUACUAUGCUGUAAAUACUGCUUCUCCAAACAUUUAAUACAUGAAAUUUUUUAACUAUGGUCAUUUUAAAGGGAAAAAAAGCAAGAAGGCCAAAGAAUCAUCCAAUUUGGAAAAGUUUAUUAUAAUAAGGUAUUUCAUUUAUUCUAUUCUCGCACAUAUGAAACAAAAGCAAUGGGAGACAAGAGAAGCAAUUACAUUUGCAUGCUCUUUCAGAUACAUAACCUUAUUGGAUUUUCAUGGCUGUGUGUGCAGGAAGGGCAAGUGCUAUUUGUCUCACAUUUUAAAGAUGAGUUAACUGACACUCUGAGACAUUAAUCUCACUACUCACCAUUACCUAAACAUUUCUGCCUCUAAGAUUUCCUGUACAUGGUUUUCCAUUGGAAUUAGCCCCCUUUCUCUGUCUAGUAAAAAUUCAACUAACCUUUUAAAGCUCAAACCAGGUUAACCUACUUAGAUAUACCUUUCCUGGCACUUGUAGGCAGAAUUAACCCCUCUUUUCUCUGUUCUCCCUUAAUAUAGUUCACACCAAUCCACCAGGCAUCCUCUUUGUCAUCAGUUAUAUUUACGUGUAGCUCCCUAGUCAGAUAGUGGGCUCCAGGAUGGCAAGGGUUUUAUAUACAGGAAAAACAAUCCCUAGGAUUCUACUGCCGAAUCAGUAAAAGGAUGAAUCAGAAAACUAGCACAGUUUGGCAAAAAGAAACAUGAAUUCACACUGACAUGCUGUUGUUAUCUUCAUAACUUAAGAAUUUAUCCUCACGGCUAGCAGCAUUACCCCCAAACACUUAUAGUGAUGCUUCCUGCAUGGUGCUUGGGAAACACCUAGGCAGACGGCACCUGAGACGAUGACUCCUCUUCUAUUAGCUACUAAUCACUCAAUUUUAGUUAUGUGCUGCUGAAGCAAACAUGCUACUAAUCAUCCAGAUACAUUGUUUUAUUGAGUUUAUGCUUAUUUCUUCCAAGUAUAUCAAGAAGUCCCAGGAAGACUAUGAAAACAUUUACAUCCCCAUGUUGGAGACAUGUGGGUUUCAAUAUUUCAUGGUUUCUCUGGAAUAUUGGAAACCACCAAUAUUUCGUGGUUUCUCUGGAAAAGAAAGGAGGUAUGUGAAAUUAAGGAAUGGCAUGGUGAGUUCUAACAAACUCAAAACCAAUCUAAAUCAAGAGUUAAAUAGUUGGAUUGGCUUGUUAAAUGUCAGCCUAUAAUUUUUUUUUUUAGAGACAGAUUCUCACUCUGUCACCCAGGCUGGAGUGCAGUGGUGGAUCACAACUCACUGUAACCUCAAACUCUUGGGCUUAAGGAAUCCUCCCUCCUCAGCCUCCGAAAGUGCUGGGAUUACAUGUGCCACCCUGCCUGGUCACUCUUAGCUAAUUUAACCCUUAACUUUUUUUAACCCUUAGACUUUAUCCUUGCACCGAGUAUAUAAACCCCUUAGCCAAACUCACUUAAAAAACCCAAAUGUGUGCUCAAACUUGCUUGAUGAUAAAAACUAAAGAACUUAAAGGAAUGAGGAUGAUGAAGGCCAUUAUGCCAUGAUACACAAUUAUUUCAAAUACAGUGGGCAACACCCCAUGUCAUUCCAGAAACCUACCUUUCUGUAGUUUUUCAAGUCUGUGAAAAGCAUUCUUUUUAGAAUGCUAUGAAUUUAAGGAAUAAUAUUUUGUAAGCAUCUAAAGGUUUGGUGAAGUCAAAAUCAGUAUUUUUUUUAAAGUCUAAAUAUUUAUCCAAAUAGUAUAAGGCUUGACAUCGCUUUAUAUUAUUGGACCAAGAGGAAGACUUUUUAAAAUAAACCCAUUAAAAAGUUUUAAACAUAUUACACAGUUACAGUUGCCUGAUUUUUUGUGUGUGUAUACAAUUUACUGUCAUAACACUGAAAACUCAACAAAGCUGGCUAAUGCAGAGUUUUGACAGAGGGUGAAUUAAACUGAUAUAGAAGGUAAACAGUUUACAUUCAAACCUAAAUCUCAGUGGUUGAUAUUUUUUCUUUUAACGUGUACCAUUUGGCUGCUUUAAAAAUGAAUUUGAGACCAGUCAGCCUUUAGUAUUUAAACCUAAAGCAAAUAGUAAUAACUAUCCCCAUUUAGAGAUUAACUUCAAUUCAGCAGGCAGUUCUGUAAGCCCUUUUCCUAUUAAGUAUUCCUAGAUCUGUCCCAUUGUAAAUCACAUAUUCUGAAGAUUCAUAUUAUUAAUUCAUUUUUCAAAUUUUUCAUCACAGACAUUCAACAGAAUCAAAAAUAACCACUAUGUCCUAUAAUGUACUGGUAUCGUUUCAGCCAGAACAAAUGACAUCUGACAUUUUAGUUACACUCUGUGUUCUCAACUAAGAAGAAAUGCAAGCUUUACAUUAGGUGGUGGGUUUUUGGUUUAUUUUUUGCUUUUUCAAUAUGGAAAAUAGCUUGUGGACUAUCACUAACACCUCUGUGGUAACUUAGUAAUGCAGGAUCUCAGCAAAGGAGAUCAUCAAUCAUGGAGGUCGAGGUUUUUCAUCUUCCCCUAUGACCUCACCUAUAGACCUACCUGCUAUUAUUAUAGGCAAACAAGUAGAAGAAAUUUACAUGUUUGACUUUGGCUCUGCAGUGAUGGGUCUACUCCUAGAUAUCAACAGUAAGUUCUGUAGUAGACAACAGAAGCAGUAUGAUGAGUGAGCACUGGAAACAUGAAGUCCAGUAUUCAAAUUCUGGCUUAUAACCUUGGCUCCUGGCAAUGUAACUUUAGGCAAAUCACUUCAAGUUUUUUCAUCAGGAAAAUGUGGGUUGUUGAGAAUUUAAUGAGAUAAAAUAUACAAAUCCUAGUAUAUAGCAGAUCCCCAAUAUAUGUUAAUCUCUUACCCUUGUUAACAAUUAAAAUACUACUGCAAAAUCAGGUAUUUUACAUUUUUAGAAUCACAAAAUAAUACCAUUCAAAGACAUUUUCUCAGACAUUCAUUUGAGUCUGCUUGUACAAAUUACUGCACAGUCUAUCCCACAGUUCAUUAGUUCUCUGCUGCACACAAAUUGAUUUUAUAAUUUAAAUACUCUCGACUUGAAACCCAGAGAGGAAUGUAAGAGCAUCCAUCAGCGGUGGUCUCACUGCUCACUGGUUCUUGGGAUGUGGAUGGGAGAAUGAAGAAGGGCUAUCAGGCCAGCCUUCAGAGGACUCCAAGGAACAUUCAACGCUGUCGGUGAGUUUGGGAUUUGAAAAAACCACUGACCGUUGACUGUACCUUGGGGUCCUUACAGACGACACUACAUUUCCUGAAGCAAAAGAGCAAGCUGUACCUUCACAUGUCACAUGAGUUCACCAGAAAUGGUCCUGCAAUCCCCCAAAUGUGGUCCAGUGAAUUUUAUUCCUACUGCUCACUGUUCCUUGCUUUCUGUUGUGUGUUUUAUUAUUAUUUGUUUGUUUUUACAAAAAAAGUGUUUCAUUUCAACAAGGUAAGGAGCAGUCCAUGAUGAUAUCUAAUGUACCUACAUGUCUCCUAGAUAUGCACCAUUCUGGUGAGAAACAGGACGUAGCAAGUAAAAAUUUAUUAAAAAUACGUAUUUUGUUUUGGAAUAAAAUCCAGUUAAAUAAUUACUCCCAUUUCUCCCACAUCCUCUCAAAAUUUUUAAUUAGGGGCAAGGGGAGGAUUUAAUAAGCAAAAAUAGCACAAAAUUAUCCAAUUGUGACAGUUCUUAUCACAUUUCACUUUGAAUUAUAGUUAAUAUGGUUAAUUUUUGAUAUCCCAGUUAGAGCAUGAGCUAUUGCCUUACUAGUGCCCACAUAUCCCCACAUAUGCUUAUUUAAAUGUUUGCUAAAUUCAAGCAAAAACUUAGCCCUGGAGUCAGUCAGAUCUGGGAUGAAUCUUGGCUCAAGCCCUUAACUAGUUAUUUGACCCCCUAAGCAAGUGUCUCAGUUUUCUCACAUAUAAAACAGAGGCUAAGAGUACCUAUCAUGGAGUUUUGAGACUCAAUGAGAUAAUAUAUAAGGUGCUUUGUACCAUUACUAGCCCACAGCAAAUGCUCAAUAUAUGUAAGCUGUUAUUAUUAAACUCCAACAUAAUCUGCUAAUUUACCUCAAAAAAGCACUCAUACUUCUCAGUUCAAAACAAAGAGGAAAAGCAGGUCCCUCAGCUGUGGUUUACAGGUACUAAUAUGCAAGCACUGCCUGUGUGGCGCAGUGCUACCUGUGAGGUUCUCCAAGCACUCCUUCCUUCUCUGAACCACAGCUUCCUCAUCUGCAAUAACCUCCCAGCUCCAAUGUCAAUGUUAUGGACACCUGUGUGGGCCCUCAAUCAUGCAGAUGGCUGGUUACUAAGGGAGAAGCCAGACACACAGACUUCAAAGAACUGAGAUGGAAAAGAAGAGCCAGGAGUCAGCCAGGGAGGGCAAAGGCAACCCCACCAACUGAAAACACUGAUGGCUGCACUCAACAUUCAUUGCUGUCGGUGGGUUUGAGUCUGAAUCAACUCACUGAUCAAUGAAUGCAAACUGCGGACCAAACAACCCAAAGGAAGCAAAAGCAUGUGCAGAGAGUCGCCUGAGUGCAGCAGCUACUGCUGUGAGUGGGAGCUGCUACUAUUUCCAAAACACUAGCUAAAGCUUUUCUUGUUCUCCUUGGUUCUAACAUGGAGUAAGUUCUCUAAAUUCCUAGUACUUUUCUCCUUUUUCAAUAGUCUAGAUUUAAGGAAAUGAUAUUUUAUAGGAAGAAUUAAAUACAUAUCUGGAUAUCACAUCACAUUUUAAAAAUCAGUACAUUCAGAAUUUCUAAACAGAAUCAUAUGCUUAUUAUUUAGAAAUUCAAAUACAAAAAUAUACAAAGUAAAAAUUGAAAAUCCCUUCAAUCAUCAUCUGCAAUCCAUUUCCUCGGAGGAAAACAUGUAUAAUUAUAAUAAACUUAUUAAGAUAAUAAAUAUCAUAACUAGAAUUUAUUUUAUAUCCUUGAAGACCUUUAUCCAUACAUACACAGAUAAAUAGCUGUAAUUUUGCAUGUUUUGGGGGGAGAGUGGCUUAGACAAAAAUAAGCUCAUUUUUACCUAUUGUUCUAUAAUCUAUUUUGUUAUUCAGCUAUAUAUCAUAGACUUCCACAACAGUCUUUUAUGUACUCGUCAUUCUUUUAAAUGGCUAUAUAGUAUGACUUAAUAUGAAUGUUCUGGUUAUUAUUCAGAUGUACAUCAAUAUUCUCUUUUGACAAAAACUAUGAGGCUCAUUCAUUCUAACCUUUGCAAACCAUGUCCCUCAAACAGGAAAAACACCUAAGUGAGAUAGAAGAUGUACAUUUUUCUUAACAAAAAAUUUAAAUGUAGUAUCAACUCUCUAAAUCCUGUAACAUGAGAUAAGCCACUAAAUCCCAUGUUAAAGAAAGAAAAACAAGGCCCUUGGUCAUGAAUAAUUUAUCAUACACUUAAGUCUAAGAAGAAGCAGAUUCUCAUAGCAAAAGUCAAAUAAGACAGUAAGAGAAGAGUCUUGUCAAAUUAGCCUUGACAAUUAAGCAAGCCUUAAUUUGACAAGGCUUUCCUGUCAAAUUAGGAAGGAGAAGUGAUGGGGUAAUGAGACAAGAACCAGAAAGAGAAAUCAAAGCCAAAAGAAAAAUCUAAAGAAAACUAUGAGAGUUCAGAGAAAAUAUCAGGUUCAAGCCAGUGUUUCCCAAACUUCUUGUACACCAGAAUCAUCUAGAGUUGCUUUUAAAAUGGCAAAUUCCUGAGCCCUACUCUAGACGAGGUGAUUUUGGGUCACUGGAAGCUGGAAGCAAAGUAAAUAAAGUUCACUAGCUUAACAUCGGCUUCCUGCCCCCAUCCCACCACCACAUUUCAUGUCAUCCACUUUUCAACUAUUGCCCAACCUUUUGUGUCACCACCUGAAAUCGCCACUAUUCUGCUGAGUGCAGACAGGUAGAGUCACAUUUGUGCUGCUUUUAAGUAUCUCCAGACUACAUAAAAUUUUGCACCAUGUUUGGUGGCCAAAUAUACAUCAAAUUGUGUCUGAUGUUUUAUGGAAAUGAAUGGAUUUGGAUUUACGCUAUCUAAAAAACUAAAACCUACCCAAAGAAAUUACCAAAAGGUUUUUUUGUGUGUGUUUUUCUUUCGUUUGUUUGUUUUUUUGAGACAGUCUUGCUCUGUUUCCCAGGCUGGAGUACAGUGAUGCGAUCUCGGCUCACUGCAACCUCUGCUUCCUGGGUUCAAGUGAUUCUCGUGCCUCAGCCUCUCAAGUAGCUGGCCCGCCACCACACCCAGUCAAUUUUUGUGUUUUUAGAAGAAAUGUGUUUUUAGUAGAGCCAUGUUGGCCAGGCUGGUCUCAGACUCCUGACCUCAAGUGAUCCGCCCGCCUCGGCCGCCCAAAUUGCUGGGAUUAUAGGCAUGAGUCACCGCGCCCGGCCCGAGGGGGUCUUUAUAGAAGAGUUUUUUGUGAGACUGGUAGACACACAGAAGGUACUCCACGCAGUCUUGUUUUUCAAGAUGCUGUGCAUUCUAGGCAUUUAUUUUUAACCAAUUAUUUCCAAAAUUUCUGAAAACAUUAGAAAAGAAUGUCUGACACGUACUUUGAAAAAUGUACACUUGAACAAGCA